AUUUCUAAUUGUUGUAUUGCUGGUCUGGUAAUAUUAAAUUACUAAGCUGUUCCGACCAAUGUUGAAAAAUUUGUAUUUCAAGGUAAAAAAUGAAACGUAUUACCGUUUACAUUAAGAAUAGACGAAUACAAGGAUAAACGAUGCUGAUUUCGGCGUAUCACGCCUCAUCAGUACACCUAUGUCUUGCCAGGACAAUGUGUAUGUUAGCACGGCACAAACUAGAGUGACAUGCCAUCGCAUCGGAUG